rnacentral:rRNA from 1 species
AUGAGUAGCGAGAAUUAUGUGAGAAUCAUAAUGGCCGAAAAUCUAAGGUUUCCUGAGGAAGGUUCGUCCGCUCAGGGUAAGCCGGGAGCUAAGGUGAGGCGGAAACGCGUAGCCGAUGCACAUACGGUAGAGAUUCCGUAGCCUCCGAAAAGUAAAGCACAGGGACGCUUCAGAAGUGUUACGCCGGGCGAUGGUUGCCCCGGUUGUAAAGGACACAAUUGAGUGGAAGGUAACAUGGAUGGAGACAAGAAAAGCUGUGUGUAUCUGGAAGGAGCCCGUACCGCAAACCGACACAGGUAGAUAGGAAGAAGAUUCUAAGGCCAGCGGGAGAAGGGUUGUUAAGGAACUCGGCAAGUUGACCCCGUAACUUCGGGAGAAGGGGUGCUUACGAAGGUAAGCCGCAGAGAAUAGGCCCAAGCGACUGUUUAGCAAAAACACAGCUCUAUGCUAAAUCGAAAGAUGACGUAUAUGGGGUGACACCUGCCCGGUGCUGGAAGGUUAAGAGGAGAUGUGAGAGCAUUGAAUUGAAGCCCCAGUAAACGGCGGCCGUAACUAUAACGGUCCUAAGGUAGCGAAAUUCCUUGUCAGGUAAGUUCUGACCCGCACGAAUGGUGUAACGAUUUGGGCACUGUCUCAACAACCUACCCGGCGAAAUUGUAGUACCGGUGAAGAUGCCGGUUACCCGCGACUAGACGGAAAGACCCCAUGGAGCUUCACUGUAGCUUAAUAUUGAAUUUUGGUAUUUCAUGUACAGGAUAGGUGGGAGACUGGGAAAUACAGGCGUCAGCUUGUAUGGAGUCACUGUUGGGAUACCACUCUUGAGGUGCUGAAAUUCUAACCUGCGUCUUUGAAUCAAGACGGGGGACAUUGUUAGGUGGGCAGUUUGACUGGGGCGGUCGCCUCCAAAAGAGUAACGGAGGCGCUCAAAGGUUCGCUCAGCAUGGACGGAAACCAUGCCAAAGAGUGCAAACGCAAAAGCGAGCCUAACUGCGAGACUGACGGGUCGAGCAGUAACGAAAGUUGGAGUUAGUGAUCCGGCGGUAUGUGAGUGGAAAUGCCGUCGCUCAACGGAUAAAAGCUACCCUGGGGAUAACAGGCUGAUCUCCCCCAAGAGUCCACAUCGACGGGGAGGUUUGGCACCUCGAUGUCGGCUCAUCGCAUCCUGGGGCUGAAUUCGGUCCCAAGGGUUUGGCUGUUCGCCAAUUAAAGCGGUACGCGAGCUGGGUUCAGAACGUCGUGAGACAGUUCGGUCCCUAUCUGUCGUGGGCGUAGGAUAUUUGAAAGGAGCUGUCCCUAGUACGAGAGGACCGGGAUGGACGCACCUCUGGUGAACCAGUUGUCACGCCAGUGGCACGGCUGGGCAGCUAAGUGCGGAACGGAUAAACGCUGAAAGCAUCUAAGCGUGAAGCCGACCUUAAGAUAAGAUAUCCGUUCUUCGGAAUAAGACCCCUUGUAGACUACGAGGUUGAUAGGCUUAAAGUGUAAGCAUGGUGACAUGUUUAGCUUGCAAGUACUAAUCGGUCGAUUGCUUUUCCU